rnacentral:lncRNA from 1 species
AAUCAUGCAUCUUUAUCAUGUAUUUACAAAUUGAGCAUUUACAAUUAUGUAUUGUGGCUUUAUGGAGACGCAACCAUUACAGCAAUUUAUCAGACAUCAGAAUUAGCAGAUGGGUCCUCAAGGUUGAUUCUACAGGAUGGAUCUUGAAGGUUGCUCAACGAUAGAACUUCAAUCUUCUUGGCUCUGUUUAGUUGUUUUACAACAUCAAGCCGCUCAGACGAGUAUGGGGAAGGAAUCUAAUUACAGUACAUAAGAACAUUAUUAGCAAAUAUAUAGUAGAAUAGCACAGCAGGAACAAGUGAACAAAACAUACCAAACGCGGCAUGUAUCUCUGGAUAGCUGCUAGCAUUGCUGCAUGGCCUACGGCAGAGACCUGAUAAUAGAGAAGAUUACAAUUAAUCAGUUCUUUUCAAGAAUCGUACACUGUCUGCUUAGAUAAACACCACUUCGUGGCAUUUUUUAAAAUUUUCAGCUUGUGCUUUUUUAUUCCUCCCACACCCACAGGAGUGCUUGUGGUGCAUGUAUUUGAACAUAGUGAAUAAAUAGACGUGCUCUUCGUCACAACGGUAGUGCGAAACUAAUUCUUUAUUGCUAUGAUGUGCUGACCAUAUAGUGCGAAACUAAUUCUUCGUCACAAUGGUCUAUCUAGUUCGUUUAGUAUCUAUAAUUUGUCCAAUGAGAGAUUUAAAAUUACACGAUCGCCAUUCGAAUGGGCCUAUUUCUAUUGUUACUCUAAUGUCUACGUCAUCAUGAGCCUCUUUUUUACUCUGUAGGCCCAAAAAUAUACUAAGGACCCAUUAUGGAAAUUCAGGUCCAACUUUAACUAGAUUCAGAUAAUAUUAAGCUUAUUUUGGGUCCUCUAAUGAACAUACUUUAGACCACACACACGCAAGCUAGUUUGAAAUAACUUGGACUUUUUUUGACUUUUUUUAUUUUUUUUACACUUGGCCUUUAAGAGACUUCUACAGAUAUUAGCUUCUCAGUAUCCAUCUCAUUCGGAAAAUGAUAACAACCAAAACGCAAACUUUAGAUGGAUUUACCUCUGCCUAAUGUCUUUCCUCUUCUCCAUUUUGCAUAUGGUAAUUUGCUUCAGAAGAGCUUCCUAUAAUUGUCAUCAGCAAACAGACCAGAAGGUAAUGGAUUUCAAUCUAUACUCUGUAGGAUGUAAUUAUUAUUUAAAUCAUGCAUCUUUAUCAUGUAUUUACAAAUUGAGCAUUUACAAUUAUGUAUUGUGGCUUUAUGGAGACGCAACCAUUACAGCAAUUUAUCAGACAUCAGAAUUAGCAGAUGGGUCCUCAAGGUUGAUUCUACAGGAUGGAUCUUGAAGGUUGCUCAACGAUAGAACUUCAAUCUUCUUGGCUCUGUUUAGUUGUUUUACAACAUCAAGCCGCUCAGACGAGUAUGGGGAAGGAAUC